CUGUGGCUUGCAACUGGCAUCUAAAUUGUUGGGGUAGAGGGACUCUUGGGGACUGACCUCUCAAUCUGUGGGAUCUGAUGCCAUUUCCAGGUCAACAGCAUCAUCACUGGAUUGGACUAGAGGGUGCCUAGGUGGUGUCUGCCACUGCAGCUCUGCUUGCUUGCCAGUGGAGAGAAAUCCCCACAUCUUUUAGGGCUGGGGAAGCCUUCUGUGUUGCAGAGGACAAACAGUCUGUUCUGAUGCAGGAAGAGUCCCUAGUGCAGAUACUUUUUAACAGAUGGAUUUGGGGUGCACCACCACUCAUCAGGGAGAUGCACUCUUCAGGAAUUUUUAUGGUGACUUAAUCACGUCUGAUUGAUUAUUAACUCCAGCCCUGGCUUGUCACUUGCUCCUCGGGGUGAGGCUGAUAGUUCCAGCUUCCAGUCAUGGCCUGGCAACCCAUCCCCACCUGGGAGCUCACCUAGAGUCACCUCAUUAGGACAAAAGACACUCAUGCCACCCAGAAAACCCUAAGGGACUUAGAAACUCUGUAUCAGAAAAUGGGGUCAAAGAUCAAAUAUUGCACCAAAAAUGCUCCUAGAACCCCAUCAAUCACAGAAUUACAAGAGCCUCAGGAGCCAUGUUCCAGGAGCUGGGGACAGAGACCAAAUAGAUGUAUUUUUAUUACGCCACAUUUCCCACGGAGGAAUUACAUUUCCCAGCACCCCCUGGAUGUAGCUGGGGUCAUGGGAGGGGCUCUGGCCAAGGGAGUGGGGGCAGGAGCACUUUGCUCCAAUUCUGGACUGACUCACGCAGUGUCAGUGUGCUCUGUCCCAUCCCCACUGCCAAUCACGUGUGGAUGCCAGUGUCGUUACCUAUUGCUGUGUAACAAGUUACCCCCAAAUUCUUCCCAGCUUAAAAGCAUCAGCAUUCAAGGCUGAGGUGUGGUUUAGUGGCAGAAUGGUUGCUUGGCAUGAGCAAGGCCCUAGGUUCCACCCCAGCACCGUGAGUCUGAAGGUUGGGAACCCAGAGCAUGGUGGCUGGUGGCUCUGGAUCAGGGUUUGAAUGAGUCUCAGUCAAGCCCUUAGGCAGGCUUGACUGGGGCUGGAGAACCCACCUCCCAGGUGCACAUGGUUGACGGCUG
rnacentral:lncRNA from 1 species